rnacentral:ribozyme from 1 species
UGAUUGUUUUAUCUGUUUUAACGAAUCAUAAUGACUAAUGUAAUUCAUAUAUAUUAGUUGUUGUUGGGUUCUAUUGAUAUAUUUUAUGUUGAAAC